UCACUUACCUGGACGGGGUCUAUGGGUGAUCAAGAAGACCUAUGGCCUAAGUUGGUGCCCUCCAUUGCACUUGGGAGGAGCAUUGGCUUACCAUCUCCCCAAGUGGGAGAAUGGACGUUGUAAUUUGUGGUAGAGGGGGUACGCGUUCGCGCGGCCCCUA